GCCAGCAUCGCAUAAUCCGGUAUUGCGUCAGUCUCGAAAACUGAUCCCUCUGGGAUUCCCGGUUCAAAUCCGGGUGCUGGCG
rnacentral:tRNA from 1 species